rnacentral:rRNA from 1 species
AUUGAACGCUGGCGGCAUGCCUUACACAUGCAAGUCGAACGGCAGCACGGGAGCAAUCCUGGUGGCGAGUGGCGAACGGGUGAGUAAUACAUCGGAACGUGCCCAAUCGUUGGGGAUAACGCAGCGAAAGCUGUGCUAAUACCGCAUACGAUCUACGGAUGAAAGCUGGGGACCGCGAGGCCUUGCGCGAAUGGAGCGGCCGAUGGCAGAUUAGGUAGUUGGUGGGGUAAAGGCUCACCAAGCCAACGAUCUGUACCUGGUCUGAGAGGACGACCAGCCACACUGGGACUGAGACACGGCCCAGACUCCUACGGGAGGCAGCAGUGGGGAAUUUUGGACAAUGGGCGCAAGCCUGAUCCAGCCAUGCCGCGUGCAGGAUGAAGGCCUUCGGGUUGUAAACUGCUUUUGUACGGAACGAAACGGCCUUUUCUAAUAAAGAGGGCUAAUGACGGUACCGUAAGAAUAAGCACCGGCUAACUACGUG